UGGGACGUGGAAGGGAAAGCAAGCUUUCGGACUUGGCCAAUUGCAGAUUCCUCUCCCGUAUUGUCAUUGCUGGGAUAACUAUAAUCGCCAUUGUCUCCGUUCUUUAUGGACAAAUACCUUACACUAAGCCGAAGUAUACUAUAACCUCGAUGGAAAGAAGCGGGAAUAAUUCCCCUACACAAGAAGAGCAGUCGAGAGGAACUAAGCAACUACAGCCCCAUAGCCCUGCUGCCAAUUGCCUCAAAGGUCCUCGAAUCUAUGGAACCCUUACCCUAACAUUGAUGCCAAAGAAGAAAUUCCCAUUGCCUCCCACGUGAUCUCGAAAGAGUUGAAUCAAACUACACACAUUGAA